rnacentral:rRNA from 1 species
GUCAACGACCAUACCAUGUUGAACACACCGGUUCUCAUCCGAUCACCGAAGUUAAACAACAUUGGACAUGGCUGGAGUACUAGGGUGAGUGACCACUUGGGAAAACCAUGUGUCGUUGGCA